GCCGCUGCCGUCUCCGGCAGCAUCAGGGGUGGAGGAAGACGGCGGAAGCGCCGCCUCAAUUGCUUCCAGCAGUCUCAUAGCUCUUGGAUUCGCGAGAGAGAGAGAGAGAGAGAGAGAGAGAGAGAGA